AGUGGGUUCCUACAUUUAAGGAGAGGGUGACAAAUAGGAAAAAAGACUCCUUUAAAAACUGACACAUACACAACUUUAAGUUAAAAUACUCGCACGGUACACCGUUUCAGGAUUCUAAAGAUUUUGACUUUUACUUCUACGGCCUUUGAAAGCCUCUCCGCUGUUUCCAUUUGUUUUGCAAGGGUAAGACCGUCUGACAGUGAUAGUGUAUAUUUUAAAAUAAAAAAGGGGUUAAAAAUAAGAUUAAAAAAAAUGUCACAACUAAAAAAAUCUAGCCCCUUCACAUCAGUCUUCUUAACAUUUUCUCUCUCUAAAAAAACCCUGGCGAUACUGUGAUAGAGAGAAAGACUAGGAGAAAAAAGAAAAGAAAAGAGAGACAGAGAAAUAGAGAGGCAGAGAACGGAGAAGGAGAGAGAGAUCGAGAGAUCAAAAACUACAGUUUGCAAACAAGAAUGAAAAGAUGUCUCUCACUUCCUGUCAAAUUUCUUCAUCUAACUGUCCGCUAAUUUCUUUCCCUGGAAUAAGAAGAAGUAAGGAAGAUGAAGCGUCAAGAACGAAGAGGAGUCAAGAAUGAAAUAGAGGGGCAGAGAUGGAGAGAAGGGCACCACCCAGAUCUUCGGCCAUCACCGUAAGCCUCCACUCACUACCCGAUUAUCAGAAUCGGAAUCGCUACUGAUUCGGUUUUGAUUAAGGGAUACGGAGAUUGAAGAAGCAAGCAGAGUUUGUAGGCGCCAAGAGAGAAGAAAUAUCAAUGGCUGGCCAUUGCCUGUUCCCUCGCCAGGCUUGGGCCAUCAGAACCGCAAGCACACACGAAGGAAAAACUAUGACCAUACGCCACCCAGAUCGUCGAAAUUGGCACCGGUACAAUAUUUUUUCCCAUUUUUUAGAUUUGGCCAUUUGGGUUUUUUUUGUUGAUAUGUUUAGAGUUGAUUCGUUUUUGUUUCGGGUUUUUGGGUGCUUCUAUUUCUAAUCUUUAUGAAAACAUUGAGAUUAAAUAAGUAUAGGAUUGAAAUCAUUGGGUAUUUCCGUUUCUAAUAUUUAUUUUCCUUUUUCAAUCUUAUUUUAGGUCUUUCUAUCGGAACAUCAUACACCCAGAUAGAGUCCGUAAGGCACAGAGAGACAGGCCGCCAUAUACCUGUAACCGGUGGUGUGUACAUGGGAAAAAGGGAUUUUGACUCUGAUAUAGAAUGCUUCAGGUUUUUUCUAAAUCUGGUGUUAUUAAUGGCAAGGCACUGUUGACAGGCUUGAUUGUUCUGUUUCUAAACAUAAUAAUAGCUGUUUGUUCAGGAGGCAUUCUAUACUGUUGGUAUUGGAGUUUGGAUAAGGAAUGCAACUGAUGUCUAUUUUUCUUAAA